CAAAAACAGAGGCUGCUGGAACCCACUUGGAAGGAACUAGAAUCUGCCUCCAGUUCCCAAAAGGCCACAAUGUGUCAGCUUGUCAGCUUGAGAAAAAGUUGUAGAACAACAUGCUAAAACUCACAUUACAUGUCCUCCGUUCAGAGCUGCAGUGAAGAAAGAUUUCACUGGGUUGAUAAGGGUUGGAAUAAGCAGUAGCAUUUAUGUGUGGAGUGGUAUUGGAAAAUUAAGAUCAAGAUCUGAUGGCUUACUUUCAUGAGGUUCUGUUGUUGGAGCCACAAGGACCCUUAAGAAAAAUGCUUGGAGCCAGCUGGUCUCUGCCAUCAGUGAAAACCCAAAGGGAGGAGCUCCACAGGCAAGGACUGCUCCCUAGAUGUCUUGAAGUUGCUUGCAUUUCAAAAGAA